rnacentral:lncRNA from 1 species
GGUGUGAAGAAAAAAAUGACACUCCAAUGGGCUGCAGUGGCAACCUUUCUUUAUGCCGAAAUAGGACUCAUUUUAAUCUUCUGCCUACCUUUUAUUCCUCCUCAGAGAUGGCAGAAGAUUUUUUCAUUUAAUGUCUGGGGUAAAAUUGCAACUUUUUGGAACAAGGCUUUCCUUACCAUUAUCAUCCUAUUGAUUGUUCUAUUUCUAGAUGCUGUGAGAGAAGUAAGGAAAUAUUCCUCAGUUCAUACCAUUGAGAAGAGCUCCACCAGCAGACCUGAUGCCUAUGAACACACACAGAUGAAACUUUUUAGGUCUCAAAGAAAUCUUUACAUUUCUGGAUUUUCCCUAUUUUUUUGGCUAGUUUUGAGACGUCUGGUUACGCUUAUUACUCAACUGGCAAAAGAACUGUCAAACAAAGGUGUACUUAAAACUCAAGCAGAAAAUACUAACAAGGCUGCCAAAAAAUUUAUGGAAG